rnacentral:rRNA from 1 species
GCAUCUUCGGAUGUGUUAUAGUCUUCCGUCGUAUACAGUGGCUGGGACUGAGGAACUCAGCACGCCGCAAGGCCGGGAUUUAUCCACGUACGUGCUUAGGAUGCUGGCAUAAUGGCUUUAAUCGA